CCCGAGCCCGCCCUGCUCCGCGCCGCCGACAGAGCCGCUCAGUUCGCAGGAGACGACUUCGCCUACGCCGGGCCCGAGCUGGGCGGCGGCGCCCUGGGGGUGCAGCUCACCUGCGACGUGAAGCCAGGAGAAAAUGAAGUUCCAUCUGAAGACGCCCUAAUACUACAGCUUCACCUUGCAAAAGGUCAUGAGAAAUUUACUGAAAUGCUAAAAAGCCAGCAGCAGAUCAUUGUAGAUUUACAGCAGAAACUUGCUGAACAGCAACAUGUAUUGGUUAGCCAGCAACGGGAGAUUCUUGAACAGCAAAGAAAAAUGUAUGAGCAAAUGGAUCUGAUCAAAGUGCAGUAUGGCUUGCUUUUUGACACAGUGAAACAAAUGUCAUUUCAGAGUUUGCAAGAAGAUAUUCAAAAUUAUUUUGAAAGUCAUCUUCAAGGACUUCAGAACCAGGUCAGGAAUCAUCUCCAGAAGUCAUACUCUGUACAUAAAGUAGAAGUGGAUGCAAAAGUGAUAAAUGUAGGGGAGUCUUUGCUGGACUGUGGUCUUUGUGAAAGUGAUGAAUUUUGCAAUUUCCAAAAGACACCUUCACAAUGUGAAAAAUGCACAUUGUGUCCUGCUGGUUUUUUCCAAAUGGCUGAUUGCUCUGCAAACUCUGAUCGGAUUUGCCAGGACAGAGAUGAAUGCACUGAAUCUCCAAGCAUUUGUGGCGAGAGAAUAAAAUGCCUGAAUACUCCAGGUGGCUUCCGAUGCCUUGGAAUUGCUGAGAAAGAUGCAGCUCUGGGAUUGUGUGGAGAAGAGUAUUUCUUUAAUAAGGAAAUGCAAGAAUGCCAAGCGUGUUUGAAAUGUGAAGAUGGAAUGGUGGCCAUGCCUUGUUCCACUGUUAGUGACACGGUUUGUUCAGCAACCAGUGAAAGCAAGCUAUCAGAAUCUUGGGCUGCAAACAUCAUUUUACCAUCUGUGAAGUCUGGCAUCUCUCAGGUCUACUCUGGCUUGAACUUGAAGAUAAGGGAAAAGCUCCACUGUGACAUCCUGUCCAUUGAAGAUCACAGCCUGAUAUUCAAGCAGCAUGGUCUUUUGUGGACUGACCUAAAUUUUGCAGUAAAACACAACUGCAGGAAUUUUUUGCAACUUUCCUUGAAGCUAAAUGGUAGUGAAGAAGGCUAUGAACUGAGUGGUGUUCGCAUUGAACAGCCAGAAGGAAAAUAUUUCCAGAGCACCAGUUUAAGCAGCGCUGCUGAGGUGGAGCCCAGCCAAACUCUUUCCGUGUUUUUGAGGAGCCCAAACCAAUUCUGCAAUCAGAGUAAAGACUUACAUAUUUAUGAUCUUAAUAGCCCACUAAGUCUGUUCUGGUUGUCUCAUGACACGGGUGCUGUGGCAAUCAGUGCACACAUGUCAACAGCAAUGCAUUACCAAACCAACUAUCGACCUACAUUUAAAAUAGUUUCUGUUUCCGACCCUUACAUGCUAAGUUUAUCUCAUGAUGGCAGAGCUAUAAAAUUCACUGAAACAGGUGUUGUCAAAUUUGUGUUGCACCAAGCAUUGUAUUCUAUGGGUCACACUUGUGUCCGGGAGGGUUUCUCCUUAAUUUCUUAUAUAAAUAGGAAUGGUACCAACAGAGAAUUAAUGAAUGUAUUUAAAUCUGGGGUAAAUUACAGAGAUACAUCAAUAUCUGCUUCUGGUGCCACAAAAGUUGCUGCUGGAGAUCUGAUUAGCUUUGAGAUACUCUCUCCUGCACAAUGUAAUGUUCGUUAUUUCGGAGAUAGUUCUGGGAUUAGUAUGUUUAGCCUUAUCUGGAUACCUUCAGCAGUUUCUAGUGCCAUAUCAGCCACAGUUUCUGUUACAGGACUGCCUACUGGAGCUGUGAGAAACAAAUUACUGGAUUUCACCCAGAUCUCAUCCAAUGAGAAACAGAUACAGCUGGUUUCUUCUGGACAGCUUGCUCAGAAGUACUUCAUUUUUACGGAAAAGGGAGUUGCCAGUCUUGCAUUUAACUUAAAGCUAAUCCAUUCAUGCAGUGUGCUCAAAGUGACUCUCAACCAGUUGACCAUGGAUCACAUGCAACCCACCAUAAUUGCUCAGCAGAUUGGAGGACAGAUGCCAGAGGGAAGCAUAUGGACCAGUGUGACCCUCCGUGCAUCUUUUGAAGUACAUAAUGGAACGCUGAUAUCAGUUUCUCUUGACUGUGUACGUGGAAGGAUCAAUCAGAUCACUCAUGAACAUGGAACCAGUAUAUCUAUUUUAUGGAUUUCAUCUUAAUUUCUGUACAGUGAAAAUAGCACAGAACUGGGGUUUAAAUUGGAUUUGGAUUCUACUCUGAUUCUUUGUCUGUAUUUGACACCUUACAGUGUGUCAAUGUGAACAUAUUGUCCCACUAAAGUGCUCUCAAAUUUAGGAAUAUUUAAAUAUAAUCUUAAUUAAAUGAUCAGUAUUUAAAGAAAGAGAGCUUUCAGAAUUCCAAGAUAAGAUAGUACUUCUGUUAACAUAAUCAGGCAAGGGAUCUAUGGAUUCAACUCAAAACUAUUUUUUUAAAAUGCAGUCUCUUGAAAUUAAUUAUUUCUGGACCACAGAAAAUUGCAGGUGAGAGUAAAAACAUAUCUUUUGGUACUGGAACUGAAAGCAGUGCAGCCAAGUAAUGGAAGUCUGCUUUCACUUUCUUCUGCCAACAAGACUAAAUGCACUCGGAGGCAAAUUUGUUUACAUCUUAUAAAAUGUUGUGCUCAAUCUUUAAGUGCCUUAAGCAUGCCUCAAAGUAGAAAUGGUAAUACGGUAACAUUGAAUUAUACUUGCACAAUAUCGUAAAAAUGGACCUCAGUCAAAAAUAGAACAUUGUUUUUACAAAACAUAAUGACUGUUCUCAUCAUGAACGUUGUAACUAAUGAUCUUUCUAAUUUAAUUUUGAAAUAAUCUGCUUUUAAGUAAUUUGGGAAGACUUGUUCCCAUUUUAAGUUGUGGCGAGUGAAUGGUUGCAUGAUGAGAAGGAAGGAAGUAUUAGAAACAUGUCUUGAAAGUCAAGCUUUAAAAGGAAACAGACUUUUAUUCAGUUUCUUACCAAUUGUGUGUUCUUUUUAUGACCAAAAGGGGACACCUUUCACAAGCAUGCUUAUUUUGCUGAACUGGUGCUUAAUUUUAGAAGUUCUUUUUUAGUUAAAUCACUCAAUUAAUUCUAAAAUGAAAUUAUGUAUUCAAUGACACUGAUUAUUGUCUUCUUCCAACUCUUCUGUCAAACUGCUCUUUCUGAUCUGUGUUUCUCUCCUUUCUUCUCCUGAAGCAUCACUACUGCUUCACUCUGUUCUUAUUUUGUUAGGAACAAACAGCAUUCUCUGUCAUGUAGCUCGACUCCUUCCACCUAUCCUUCACCAGCCCUACUAAAGAACAGGUGUGUAUGUGUGUCACAUAUAUAAGAGGAACUUUAAUAAGACAGCUGCAAACUGCCUACCAUCAACCUAUUUGAAAGUGAGACUACUAUGCAUGAUAUGACUUUACUGUGGGUGUCUGUCUGAGCACAUGUAUCCUAAAUGCAUGCACUUUUCUGUGCUCUUCACCUGUUCUGUUUUUUGUUUGUUUGUUUUGGUUUGGUUUGUUUUUUUUUUGUAAAAGCGUGAACACAAAUGCAGGAGUUCCAUCUGGUGCUUCCAUUUUUACUUGUAAUUUUCUAAUCAUGUCAUUAUCACUUGUGGUUACCUUUCCCUCAUCCUUUCUUCAGGUUUGAACUCAGAGAUACGCAGACUUUGGACAAAUUGUUCUCCUGCACCAAGCAGAAUGCUAGUAUUUCUUGUUUCAGCUCUUAAGUAAGUCUGAGCAACCCAUUGCAAUAUACCUCACUGGAUGCUGUGUUGAGGCCAACACAACCACAAAGCAGACAGCUCACUGCUGUAUCAGGAUGUCUGUGCUGCAAGAGAAGCUCUGCAGAGAGCAGACCUGGGUAUUUCUGCAGUGAAACUGCAGGGAAGUCAAUGUUGGAGAAGGCUUGAGAUAGGAUUCUUAUGUUUUCACUUGACGGAAAGUCAAGAAAAUAAUUUUCUCAUGGACAUAACCCCUUAUUUUUCUUGUCUGCUUUACUGUAUGCAGUUGUUUUAGAGGCUGUCAGCCCCAUUAAAAUGAUAGCUUAAGAGUAAUUCUGGAUUUAAACCUGUGUAGCAGAUAAUCAGAAUCUAAUGUAGGAUGUAAUCUAAUACAUCUUCAGCAAAGUGCAGAUGUUACUUGAAUAAAAUAAGCAUUUGCCUUUAUGUAGCAUAUAGCACAUCUAACAGAAUGAUUUGUAUGUGUAUAUUUUACGUAAGUGAGUUUGUAAUACCGGUGGAAUUGCUUGAAUAUGGAGAAGACUAAUGCUUAAAUCCUGUACUGUGCACACAGUGAUGGCACUUCCAUUUAAAUGUGCCAUUAUUAAAGGAUGCAGAAGCUACCAGGGAGCUACAAGUGAGCAUUAUUACAGCUAAGGGAAAUUUCAGAGUGUGAAAUUGUAAAUACAGUAUAUCUUUUCUGAAGAUUCUUGGGGGAGUGCCCAUAAUUGCCCUCAAGUUAAGAGUAGAUUUUUAGAUACAUAGGGCAGAAAUGUGGUAUUUUGCAGCCGUCUGGUAAUGGUAAUGAUGGUAAUGUAUUUCACAUGGUUUUGCUAUUGUCAUCUGUGAUAUUCAUAUGAUGAACAGCAACAAAAAUUCUUCUAAAUACAAACUAUUAACUGCAACUUGCAGCAAGCUUAGCCCUACUUCAGUCAAGAAAUUUGAGCCUGUUUUCAUCACUAUCUUUAAAAAAAAUACAGCCUAAAUUAAGAGUUCAGCCCACUUAGUUACAGGAAUGUGAAUUUGGAGUAAGUGUGUUGGAGUCAGCUUGGAUUUAUGGUAGUAUAACUAACAGCGUAGCAUAUAGCCUUUGCCUCUAUGAAAAUGAUAUAUAUUACCUCAUUCCGUGCAACAUUAAGUGGUGCACUGCAGUCCUACAUAAGAUAAAGUUCAAAAGCAAUCAAACAAUGUACGAUGAAUACUAAUUUUAUGGCACUUAUCCCAUUUGCUGUAAUUAAUUGCAUGCUUUAUUCUUGACAGAUAUACCCUAUCAAUUAUAUUUACAACUUAGGAACUUUUUAUUUCAAGUUUUUAUAUGGUUUCUUUCUUUUAGUAGCAUAAUAUAAUGCUGUGAAGUACAGAAUUCAUUAAAAUGUUUUUUUCUUUUGCAUCUUUUGAUACCACGUUCAUGAAUACUCUUAAAAACCUGGGAGACUGUCUCCAAACCUUGUUUCUAAUGGGGACACUCAAAGUCUUGCAGAGUAAGUGCAAGUACAGAGGCUAGUGAAGUCUGUACAGAAAGCGUGGAAGUUAAUACAUCUAUGUAGAUCACUCCAAAAGUAAUGCCUCCUAUUUAUUUCCAUGGAAACUACAACUGAUACAAAGAGCACAGUAACACUGUUUGAUAGAACAAAUUCUAAGCUACAAAACAGGUAUCUUUAAACACUGUCACCACUAUUAGCCACAUGUUUUGCCAGUGAUGAACAAGAGCCUGCAUGCUGCGCUUGUCAAAAUCUGCACCAGUGGAGGUGACCCACUGUCACCACUGCUGAAACACACCACCCACCCCAUCACCAUGCCCACAUCCACUGCUAGGGCUCUGUAAAUGUUCAGCAAGUCAAUGAAUUUCAGUAGGUGCAAUUUGUUCCACAUGGAGGUGUACAACGACACACCUUUGUUUGAUCUGCACUUCCAUGUCAGACACCGUUCUGUCAGACUGCCCCUCUGCUGCUGUCUGUCAUGGCAAAAAAUAAUGGGAUGUUGGUGGGAAGGUUCAACCUCUACUGCCAUACCACCAACAUCCACCUCUGAGAGCAUGGGUCAAGAUAAUAAGAUAGGAAGCAUUACUUUCAAAGCAGCCUUCACAGAAAGGUGAAUGUUUUACUUAUGCAGACAAUGGGAAAUGUUGUGGAAAAUGUGACUAUUACAGGAGGAGAAUAAUUUAGGUUGUGUAGUGCUGCUCACAUAAGAGGAAAAAGGAUCUGCCUUACAAAAACCAGCAUCACUUAAUAUCAACCAUUUUGCAAUUUGAGAGAGUUUGCCUGGAUAUAUUUUAUUACCUGUACACUUUCGUGCUUUCUGAAGUCAAAACUGGGUAGAAUGCAUCAACUAUUUUAAUAUUUUGGAUCAUUCCCUUUGUUCUGUGGUCUGUGCAGAUGGCAGUACACUGUGAAAAUGACACUAGUUUCAAGUGGUGCUUUUUAAUAAAAUUUCCUACUUUGAAAUAGUACCUUGUGUUUAAAAAUACCAUUUAGACACUUCUGUUAAUAUUAUAUUGUAAUACGUUUUAAGAGAACUUUGCUGAAAUAAAUACAACAAAAAAGCUC
ensembl:lncRNA